rnacentral:lncRNA from 1 species
CCCUGAAUGACUCUCCUCUUUACCAUCUUUCUGAAGGUCCAGCCCAGAAAAGUGCUAAACUUUACGGAGUUGGGGACUGCGUGCAUCAGAGGCAAUCUGCAGCCAGUCAGCCCAAGGUGUUAGAAAGAUCUGCUAGAGGGAGAGCGAGCAUCUAUGUGAAAACAAACCUGUUUUAUGCAGUCCUCUAAGCCACCAGAGCUGCUGGAAAUCCAACAAAGGAAGGUCAGCAAUCAACAUAGAGAGAUGAACCAAAAGUCUCUGUUUGAACUUCAGAUGUUCAGCAAAGGCAGCCCCAAGGAGCUGCUGAGGA